AAUCAACGCUGGCGGCGUGCCUCAGACAUGCAAGUCGAACGAUUAAGACUUCCUUCGGGAAGUGCAUAAAGUGGCGCACGGGUGAGUAACACGUAAGUAAUCUACCCUCGAGUGGGGAAUAACGUUCGGAAACGAACGCUAAUACCGCAUAACGCAGCGGCACCGCAAGGUGACAGUUGUUAAAGGAGCAAUCCGCUUGGGGAGGAGCUUGCGGCAGAUUAGCUAGUUGGUAAGGUAAUGGCUUACCAAGGCUACGAUCUGUAUCCGGUCUAAGAGGACGGUCGGACACACUGACACUGAAUAACGGGUCAGACUCCCACGGGAGGCAGCAGUCGGGAAUUUUGGGCAAUGGGCGAAAGCCUGACCCAGCAACGCCGCGUGAAGGAUGAAGUAUUUCGGUAUGUAAACUUCGAAAGAAUGGGAAGAAUAAAUGACGGUACCAUUUAUAAGCUCCGGCUAACUACGUGCCAGCCGCCGCCGUAAAAC
rnacentral:rRNA from 1 species